AACUCCCGUAACAGCUCUUAUUAAAGCCCAAGACCUCCUCUCGAAGGGACUGAAAUGAAGACAUUUUAAAUUGGAUUAAAGGAGUUUGUUGUGCAGUGUGUUGACUAUGCACCUGUGAGUUCUCGAGGAUUAAGACUUAGGGGCCUCGGUGACUGACUAGCGCUUUCUCUGUGAUUGAGGAUUUCCAUAGCAGUCUGCUGUCGGCAGCAGUGCUAAAACGUCAGAGCUGUCAUGGCCGUCACAGACAUAUUGUUUUCAUCCACGACAUCCUCUUGGGACAGGAAGAGACUCGUCAAGGGUUAGGCACAGGCUAUCUCUGUGAGGAAGAACGAUAGCCAAAAUACAAACAAGGUGCAGAGUGGAGCUGAGCGGGGGGGCUCUCUAUCUCCCAAUGGGAAGGACACAAAUGCUCUAAGCUAAUGGGAAAAAAAAGCUUGAUGAAGUGCAUGCUGACCCCAGUAAGAGACAACUUUUGAAUGAUUGCGACAGUUCACUUGGGAAAAACAUGAAUUUCACAGUUUACUCUUCAACGCUGAUCUCCACCGAUAAGAGGACUUCAAUAAACUUUGAAGACAUUCUGAGAUUUCAUGACUUGAUUCUACUUUUAGAAUCAGACAUGAAAGUAUCCAAUCCAUCUACUGCCACAUACUUAUGAGGA
ensembl:lncRNA